GAAAGAAAAACGCAAAGAAAAAGAAUAGGCUAGGCAUAAAUCGAUAUGCUGAAAUUUAAAUAAAAAAUAAAUAAGAAGAGGAGCCCAUUAGAUACAAAUAAUGAAUCGUAAUAGAAAUAGAAAAUAAAGUUCAGGUUCGAAUUCCAUAGAAUCGAUAAUAUGGGUGGGCUUGUCUAUAAUGAUAGACAAAUGAAAGAAUUUCUCAAGAUUCUGAUUCAUCCACUUGAGAUUUUUAAAUGAAAAUAGGUUGGGUGAGCUUCCAAAUUAACUCAGUCUCAUUGAAUAAGUAAACAAUUGGAUUGGUUCAAUUGCAUGGUGCCAACGAAAUCGAGUGCUAAUUCCGAUUUUUUUGAAUUAACCGAUCGACGUGCUAGCGGACAUUUAUUUUGAAUUCGAUAAUUUUUGAAAAAACAUUUCGACAUAUUUAUUUUAUUAUUAUGAGAAUCAAUCCUACUACUUCUGGUUCUGGGGUUUCCACGCUUGAAAAAAAAAACCCGGGGCGUGUCGUCCAAAUCAUCGGUCCGGUACUAGAUGUAGCCUUUCCCCCGGGCAAGAUGCCAAAUAUUUAUAACGCUCUGGUAGUUCAAGGUCGAGAUAGUGUUGGUCAACCAAUUAAUGUGGCUUGUGAGGUACAGCAAUUAUUAGGAAAUAAUCGAGUUAGGGCUGUAGCUAUGAGUGCUACAGACGGUCUAACGAGAGGAAUGGCAGUGAUUGACACAGGAGCUCCUAUACGUGUUCCAGUCGGGGAGCGACUCUGGGACGAAUUUUUAACGUGCUCGGAGAGCCUGUUGAUAAUUUAGGGCCUGUAGAUACUAGUUACAACGUCUCCUAUUCAUAGAUCUGCGCCCGCCUUUAUACAGUUGGAUACAAAUUAUCUAUUUUUGAAACAGGAAUUAAAGUAGUAGAUCUUUUAGCCCCCUAUCGCCGUGGAGGAAAUAAUCGGACUAUUCGGGGGAGCUGGAGUGGGUAAAACAGUACUCAUUAUGGAAUUGAUUAACAAUAUUGCUAAGCUCACGGGGGCGUAUCCGUAUUUGGCGGAGUGGGUGAACGUACUCGGAAGGAAAUGAUCUUUUACAUGGAAAUGAAAAAUCUGGGAGUGAUUAAUUAAAGAAAUAUUGCAGAAUCAAAAGUGGCCCUAGUUUACGGUCAGAUGAAUGAACCGCCGGGAGCUCGUAUGAGAGUUGGUUUGACUGCCCUAACUAUGGCGGAAUAUUUCCGAGAUGUUAAUGAGCAAGACGUACUUCUAUUUAUUGACAAUAUCUUCCGUUUCGUCCAAGCAGGAUCCGAAGUAUCGGCCUUAUUGGGUAGAAUGCCUUCCGCUGUGGGUUAUCAACCGACCCUACAGUACCGAAAAUGGGUUCUUUACAAGAAAGAAUUACUUCUACCAAAGACGGGUCCAUAACCUCUAUUCAAGCAGUUUAUGUACCCGCAGACGAUUUGACCGACCCUGCUCCUGCUACGACAUUUGCACAUUUAGAUGCUACUACCGUACUAUCAAGAGGAUUGGCUGCCAAAGGUAUUUAUCCAGCAGUAGAUCCUUUAGAUUCAACGUCAACCAUGCUUCAACCUCGGAUCGUUGGUGAGGAACAUUACGAAACCGCCCAAAGAGUUAAGCAAACUUUACAACGUUACAAAGAACUUCAGGACAUUAUAGCUAUCCUUGGAUUGGACGAAUUAUCCGAAGAGGAUCGUUUACUCGUAGCAAGAGCGCGAAAAAUUGAGCGUUUCUUAUCACAACCCUUUUUCGUAGCAGAAGUAUUUACCGGUUCUCCAGGGAAAUAUGUUGGUCUAGCAGAAACAAUUCGAGGAUUUCAAUUGAUCCUUUCCGGAGAAUUAGAUGGUCUUCCUGAACAGGCCUUU